UGUAUAUAUAACUUAACAUUGAAAUCUAUACAAAAUCUGAUCCAGCGAUGCAAUUAUUCCUGGGUUUGUUAGAAGCUUAAAAGAGAGCAUAGGAGAUCUCUGAUUUCCUGCAAGAAAAUUAAGUGGAAGCAGUUCUUCCGGGAUUUGCCAAAAAGCUACCACAAUCAAGACAAGAGAAGAGGCAUGGAUAGUAGUUAUUUUGGAGAACCAAACAUGGGAAAUGAAAGAGUAAGUGGUUCUUCUUCAUCAUCUUCUUCAAGAAAAGGGAAGAAGAACAAUCAAGACAAGUCAAAGCAACCCCAAAGAGGAUUAGGUGUUGCUCAGUUGGAGAAAAUCAGAUUACAUGGUCAAAUGGCUUGUGGUGGCUAUCAUCCUCCUCUGCACUCUCCUUACCCAUCUAACUUUAACAAUGAAGAUCCAAGGGUGCAAACACCCUAUUCAUCAGUACCAUCAUCAUCAUCAUCAUCUUUUUCUUACUCAUCUACAUCAUACUCACCUUCAUAUGGCUUCCAACCCAACAUUGUGAUGUCCCUACCCGAAUAUGAAAGAACAAGCAUUAGAUAUGGAGAUUCACAGCCAACUAAUACUGCAAGAUGGGAACAUUCCACUGCUCAAACUAGACCUUUACUUAACCUAUAUUUACAAUGCAACCCCAAAGGGAAGCACCUGAAGAUAUGGUGUGCAAGGACAAGUUCUUAAUCCAGAGUACAAAGGUUCCUGCCGAAACAAUCAGUGAAGAUGUUACUUCCCGCUUGUUUGUUAAAGAUGGAAGUAAAUAUAUAGAAGAAAAUAAGCUGAAGGUGAUCCUAAUCUGCCCACCCAAUUCACCAGAUCUCUCUCCUAUUAAUGGAGAUUUCAAGAAUGGGCUUGACCAUGAAAAAGUUCAGAUAUAUAGUAAAGAUGAAA